UAUAUUUUUCUUUCCUUCGUUCUCCCUUCUCCUAUCUCCGUUCCUCAGCUAAUGACGACGGCCAGAUAUUUCCGUUCGAAAGCCGACGAAUCGGACCUCACCGUUUCACCAAUCGUCUCCCUUUCAUCUUAGGAACAAGAAAACCAGUCGCAUGCCUCGAUUCGUUAGGGUUUCGACGAGGAUUUUCGAAAACUCCUCAGAGUUUUCCGACAUUUUUGUGACGAUUCCGGCGAAGAUCGGCGUCGAGGUUGGUCUCAAGCUAUUCCUCAGAACCUCAGGUUAGAGCGGUCAAGGUUCAAAAGAUAUUGGUAGAACUCAGACCGGUGUGUUAUGCUUACUGCUCUAACUGUUUCACUUACAAUUUUAAUAAGCAUCUUUUGCUGAAUUUACUUUUGAUUAUCUUUUUUAUGGAAUUCAAAAUUUGAGUUGAUUAAAAUUGGUAAUUUGUUUUGA